rnacentral:lncRNA from 1 species
GUGUAAUCAAUAGGUGCGGGGGCAUUAGAUUCAUCAACAAGACUGGACUUUCGAGAGCAGAAGCUUCUAGAAGAAGUUGAGAAACCCAAUAUUUCUGUUUGUUUCGUAGAAUGGAACGAGGAUCGUUGAAUGGAAGAUGAAGAAGAACAGGAGUAUAAGGAUUCUUGUGACUGUCGCAAGAACCUGAAGAGCCUUCUCUGCAAAAGCAGCUUGGAGGCCAUGGCUUGGUUCCUGCAGCUCGAAUAAAGUAGAGAAGAAUAAAGAUGAAACCCUAAUUGUUAAUUGAGAGGAAGAAUCGGUGAUGAUGACAGAAAACAAAGCUGAAUGCUUU